rnacentral:misc_RNA from 1 species
GCUCCCUGAACAACCCACUUUCCCUCAACUUCCCAUAACAUCCCGUUCUCGAUUUCCUUAUAUGGGAAUGAGUCGGAGAGAAGCUCAUCACCUGUGAGAAGAUCCUGAUAAACGAGCAUUAUUACAAAUUUUACACUUGCUCUGUAAAAUAACUUAAUUGGCUAAUUAACAAAAAAGAAACGCAAUUAAUCAAGAAAAAGAGGGGGGAAAAAAG